rnacentral:lncRNA from 1 species
GUGCAGUGAGGAAUAAUGAAGCUCAAAAAGAAGUACUGAAUUACGAACUUGCCUUGCCCUUCCUUUCCCUAUCCGCACCAGCUGGCUGCCACCUGAUGUGACCUUCCUUCUCGUCCUCUGCUGAUGUCCAGCUUCACCGUGGAGCAGCAUUGUCGACAAGAAAAGAUGGCAUCGGGCAUUUAUAAUAUGAAUGUUGCUCAUCAUUGCUUGCUGAAUGUAUGCUGGAGAGAGGAACAACUUAGAUCUGACUCUUAACCGCAGGCCUCUUAAUUUCUGGAUGGACUGCAUCCUGCAUCAAAAGGCUAAGCUGUUCCUGAGGCAACAAGUGAUGUUGAAGAACAGCACCAAUGGGUUGUGA